CGCUUUCCCAGUGCCCGCGCACCUGGGGGCUGCGCCCGGGGGUGUUGGCCUUCCUCUAGGGCAGGCAGCCUUCCGGCCGCAGAGGACUGGCAAGUAAGUGUGCAGGGUCCUAGGGGUAAAGCUCUCAGGAAAGCCCUCGCAUGUGGGCGCCUAGCAGGGCUUAAGGAGACCCAGCCCCGAACAGGGUGUGUACGGUGAAUCCCCAAGGAGGACUUGGCCUUUCUGUGAUCUUGGCAAGCCCUUACCGAGAGGGCGCUCCAACUGUAAAGUGGGGGUCACAAUGCUACCUACUCCCACAGGGCUGUUUUCAGGAUGAGGUCAGCUCCUGCCUUGUAGUCAGCUGCCAACAACCUUUUGUUUUGAUGAGCCCAGGGCCUGCCACGUGGUAGGUGUUCACUAGAUUGUGUAUACUCUUGAAAGCACCCUCUGAGCUGGGACCAACCAGUGGGAAAGUGAGUUGAAUCAUCCUCGCUCUGCCGCCUGCAGCAGCCUGGCAUCCAGUAGACAAUUAUUUGGAGCACCCUGGAGAGUGAUGGACGGGUUCACACCGUGAACAGGCAGUGGCAGGUGAGGGGGCCUCCGAGGGCUCUUCUCUCUUCCCUCUUGGGACCCAUUGGUCCCAGUUGGCCCCAUGCAGAAAGCAAACAGCUUGAAUCAUACAGGAGGCAAAAAAACAAAAAAGGCAGAGCAGGCCUGAAGUGGGAAGAAACUGUUCAUCUGAUGUUCAGAGCCAGGAGCAGUCAGGUUUAUUCCGGGGCUGUGCAGGGUUUUCACUUGCUUGAGUCUGUAAAGUAGCAGGUAGAGGUGGCUGCCGGGGGCAGGAAGGGGCAGAGAGAGGACACGAUCUGCAGAGAUGGCUACCUGAGGUCCUUUUCAGCUCCAGGAGUCCUGGGGUUUCAUAACCCACAUGAUUCAUCCGAUCAGCAGGUGAGUCACCCUAAUAGAGGUGGGAGAACGGGAGGUGUGGUAGGAGGCCCAACCCAGACAGGCCAAAUCCCUAUUCCCAAGGGCUUCUGCCAGGGGCUCCUCUUGGAACCUAGGGAUCUGUGUCUCAGUGGCCUUCCCUCUUCUGCACCAGCCACACCUUCAGUGGCUUCUCUUCCCUGGCCGAGUGGGGUCAUCUCCCUGGGCAGUUGCUCCAGACCUACCCCAGGCUUCAGAAUACAGGCUCCUUGUGUCAUGGCUGGAUGCUCGCCAGCACCUGCCCUCUGGAAAGGCUUGAGGCCCUGACGCAAACUGGCCAACCCUAGAGGAGAACGUGCCACACCUGUUGGGCACAGACAAUACCCAGAACCCUCACCCUUUCCCUGCCCAGCCACCUGGCCCACAGUGAAGGGACACUGUGCUGAGUUGGGUAGAGUUAGAGACCUUGCCCUGUCUCUUUCCAGCAAUCCAUCUGGGCAAUAUUUGUCCUCUUUCUGCCCCUGGUUGGCCAGCCUGUCACUCAGAUUCAUCCCACAUCCCAUGUUGCACUUAUUUAAUAUGUGGCCCACUCUAAGAUAUAGCCUACUCCACAUAAUCCAUGUGAUGAUGAAGUGGCUCGUGCCUCCCAAGAGGGUACUCCCAUGACAACAGUGAUUUUGACAGGCAGAGAUAAGGGUUUUUCCAUAAUAAUUUGGUAGAUCAAGGGAUUCAGUGUACUGAACUGAGAAGAGACUAAAACACAUCUGAAUUUUUAUUUGGAGAGAUCUGAAUUUAUUUUAUUAAUAAGCUUGGUCCUCUUCCUCUGGGGAUAAACUUUCCACGUGUGGUAGAAGCGCCUGGGCUGUAGCUUGCCUCCAACAUUGUAGGAAGACCAGCUUCCUCAAAUCAGCUUCCUAAAUCUAAUUGCCUCCUGUGAGUUUCCUAUCGAUUUACACUAGGACAGGAUUAACUCAAUCAUGGUACCAGCCCUUUGCAUUGCGAUAGGAUCUGUAAUAAAACUUGGCUCCUCCUCUUGAAGGGAGGGGAUUUAUUACCCACUCUGGCUGCCGCUUACCAGCUGGCCCUGGAGGUCCACACCACUCUGGGGUAGGGGGCCUGCUGCUCCCAUAGACUGAGGUAGGCAGCCUGGGAAGGGACAAAACAUGGACCAGAAAGGUGAUUGGAGCCUGGCUGUAUCUCAGGAGCCAGUAAAUGUAAAUAGAGAUGUGAUAUGCAUGCUAGAAAGUUCCCAAACCAGCAAAGAGGUGGAGGAGUUGCUGGGCAGCUGGCAAACAAUGAUGUGCUCUUCUACCCAGGGCUGCUCCCUUUACAGCAAGUACAGGGCUGCCCAGCUGGGGCCUGGCAAUACCCAUUCAGCCAACGCCACUGGACAGUCAAAGAUUUUGCACAGCCUCUAUCUAGUGUACUUUGAAAUUAAGUUUGAUUUAGUUACCUAAAUUUAGGCAAUAAACACUUUGCUGAAAAACUGUGCUUUUAAGAAUGUGCUGGUUUCAGUGGCCAAGGUGGGACCUCAAAGAACAUCUGAUGGGCACCACGUCUGGAGAAGUUUCGCCACAUCACUUACUUCUGGGCAACCUCGGGCAAGUUCUUCGUCUCCUUCUGUUGUCAUCUUGCAGGGAUUGACACCCACCAAGUCCUUCAUCCUUUGAAGGCUGUGCCACACUGAACCUCACAGUCGCCUGCCACAGGGUCCAAUUCCUGGCUCUCCAAUGAUGCUUCAGAUUCCUGCUCUCCUAUGUUGUCAUCUCUCAAAGGUUAAACAUUUGAUAACCAAACAUUUCUGUGGCUCAAAUGAUUUUGUGUCUGGCCCUCUUCAUUUGGAUUGGGGAUAAUUCUCUCACUCUUUUUUCUUUCUCCUCUGAG
ensembl:lncRNA